GAGGAGUACCCGCUGAACUUAAGCAUAUCAAUAAGCGGAGGA
rnacentral:rRNA from 1 species